rnacentral:rRNA from 1 species
UACGUAGGGCGCGAGCGUUGUCCGGAAUUAUUGGGCGUAAAGAGCUCGUAGGCGGCUGGUCGCGUCUGCCGUGAAAGCCCGCGGCUUAACCGUGGGUCUGCGGUGGAUACGGGCCGGCUAGAGGCAGGCAGGGGCAAGUGGAAUUCCUGGUGUAGCGGUGAAAUGCGCAGAUAUCAGGAGGAACACCGGUGGCGAAGGCGGCUUGCUGGGCCUGUCCUGACGCUGAGGAGCGAAAGCGUGGGGAGCGAACAGG